CUUGUGGAGAUCCAGGCUCAGACUGUUGGCUGGAAAGAACUGAUUUUCAGUGAGACUGGAUCUGGAGUUCUCCACAGUAAUGAGUCCAGGUCCGAGUUCCUCUCAGCUCAGAUGUCCUUUGGUGACAUCAUUCAUGAGUUGCUGGAGGGAGGGGACACUAGGGACCAGCUCAUGGAUUCUCCAUGACAAUCCCAUACAGCGGCAAUUUUUCUGUAAUCUCAAAGAUCUUCACGCUGCUCAGGAGGAUGGAACAAAUCCUACUGGUGGUAUUUUAUAUAAAGAGGUUUAUAUAGCCAAAGGUCCAUUUCAGAAGACAUGACUGAGAGCCAAGAGGAGGAUGAAGAGCCUGCUUGGAAGCGUGGGGGGAGAGGAGGCUCACCAAAAGCUCAAGUACCACUCCUUGAAAGUCUCCUGCAGAAGCAUUGGGUUCCCCAUUCCAAAUCCCACAAGCACUAACUUAAUUCUAGAAAGAAAGGAUUUCCCUUCUGUUGUCAAUG